GCUGAAUGCGCGUGCGGCUCUUGCCCCGCAUGUGCAUUCAGCCGAGGACGGGGAGAGUCCCCCGUGCGGCGCUGGAGAAAGAGGUACGUUUAACCCUUUCCUCCCCCGAGUGCCCAGCGGGGGCACCCUCAGGGCACUAUAGUGCCAGCAAAACGAGUAUGUUUUCCUGGCACUAUAGUCGUCCUUUAAUUUUCAUUCUUGGACUGCCAUACAGUACCAAAGGCAUCAUAGGC